AUACGGAGGGAGCGAGCGUUAAUCGGAAUUACUGGGCGUAAAGCGCGCGUAGGCGGCUUUGUCAGUCGGAUGUGAAAGCCCUGGGCUUAACCUGGGAAUGGCAUUCGAUACUGCAGAGCUAGAGUAUGGUAGAGGGAAGUGGAAUUUCCGGUGUAGCGGUGAAAUGCGUAGAUAUCGGAAGGAACACCAGUGGCGAAGGCGACUUCCUGGGCCAAUACUGACGCUGAGGUGCGAAAGCGUGGGGAGCAAACAGGAUUAGAAACCCCAGUAGUCC
rnacentral:rRNA from 1 species